rnacentral:rRNA from 1 species
AAUGAACGCUGGCGGCGCGCCUAAUACAUGCAAGUCGAGCGAGAAGACGUAGCAAUACGUUUGUAAAGCGGCGAACGGGUGAGGAAUACAUGGGUAACCUACCCUUGAGUGGGGAAUAACUAGCCGAAAGGUUAGCUAAUACCGCGUACGCUUCUUGGACUUCGGUUCAGGGAGGAAAGCGAUGCCGAGGGUAUCGCGCUCUUGGAUGGGCUCAUGUCCUAUCAGCUUGUUGGNGAGGUACGGCUCACCAAGGCUUCGACGGGUAGCUGGUCUGAGAGGACGAUCAGCCACACUGGCACUGCGAC